UGUCCCUCUGCUGAUUUAUUGUUAGAUUUAGUUCUAGUUGAUUUUGUGGAAAUAUUGCCAGUUUUGGUGCUUCAGACAGUAGGCCCAGUACUAGCUCAGAGCAGCUGACAGGAAAAGAACAGACAGUCAUCUAUCAAUGCAUGGGAUUGAAUAGGCUAUGACUAUGCAUGAAACAUUU